CCUACGGGUGGCUGCAGUGGGGAAUAUUGCACAAUGGAGGGAACUCUGAUGCAGCGACGCCGCGUGAGUGAAGAAGUAUUUCGUUAUGUAAAGCUCUAUUAGCAGGGAAGAAAGUGACGGUACCUGAAAAAGAAUCUCCGGCUAAAUACGUGCCAGCAGCCGCGGUAAUACGGCGGGUGCGAGCGUUAAUCGGAAUUACUGGGCGUAAAGCGCUCGUAGGCGGUAUGUCAAGUCAAGGGUGAAAUCCCCGCGCUCAACGUGGGAACUGCCUUUGAAACUGGCAAACUGGAGUGUGUGAGAGGAUAGUGGAAUUCCAGGUGUAGGAGUGAAAUCCGUAGAUAUCUGGAGGAACAUCAGUGGCGAAGGCGACUAUCUGGCACAUAACUGACGCUGAGGAGCGAAAGCGUGGGUAGCAAACAGGAUUAGAUACCCCGGUAGUC
rnacentral:rRNA from 1 species